rnacentral:rRNA from 1 species
UACGAAGGGUGCAAGCGUUACUCGGUAUUACUGGGCGUAAAGCGUGCGUAGGCGGUUUGUUAAGUCCGUUGUGAAAGCCCUGGGCUCAACCUGGGAAUUGCAGUGGAUACUGGCGAGCUAGAGUGCGGUAGAGGAUGGUGGAAUUCCCGGUGUAGCGGUGAAAUGCGUAGAGAUCGGGAGGAACACCCGUGGCGAAGGCGGCCAUCUGGACCAGCACUGACGCUGAGGCACGAAAGCGUGGGGAGCAAACAGG